GCUUGUCCUUCUGAAUCUUCUUGCUUGGUAAAAAUGAUGCCAUCUAAUCCUUAAUUCUCCUAAACAUCGGGGUAUCAUUUGUCACCUAAUCUUCUGUCUCUGUUACUGAUUCAAGAUAUGUAUUGGCCAACCAUCAUUACUCCCUUGUUUAUUUCAACUUUCCCUUUUACCUCAGUUAAACUGAUUUGUUCAGGCAGUAUGUGCCUUUGUUCUCUUUUUUGGUCACUAACUUGUGCUAAAUUGUGAUAUUGCUUUCCAGGUGAUGAAUCUAAAACUUAUACACUUAUUUAAACAUGAAAUACACCUGGAGCUUCUAUUCGUAUCACUUGCUAAGUGGUUUUCUCCAUGAAAAUCGGUUUAACAGUGCAGAUUGCAGAAGCAUCAUACUGUACAGGAUUGUUGGCCUGUCUUCUCUUCAGAUUUCUACUUGCUUAAAGAGGAGACGGAAGAAGCAAAUUUGUUCUUCCGGGAUAUCCUUCUACCUCAUAGAGCAUAUUCCAGUGAUCCAGUAGAACAGGGGAGCCCUCUGCGUCUUUCACUAGACACCGGUUGUUCUGUCUACGGGGCAUCAGCGAUUAAAUAGCACUUUUUCCCCUAUUAUAAGGACAGGUUCAUGUGUAUUGGCGAAAAGGUCAACCAUUUUUCCAUCUAAUUGUUUGUGUUUGAUGGUUGGUUUUUGUCCCAAAAAAUUGGGAUAAACAGCCGGAAGGAAGCAUUUAGUCAUGCAUAUAUAUUGGGGUCCUGUAUGUCUCCUCAAAGUCAAUUUAUCCUAAUUCCAAGAGUCAAAAUUUAUCACAAGAGUCAAUCUGGUAUGUUCCCUAUGAUUCAUAUUUCCUAAUUCCAAGAGUCCAUUUAUGACAAAUCUUGAGUUCAUUUGUUCUUUUAAAGUUGUCCUUCACAUUAUUACUAUUGGA